rnacentral:rRNA from 1 species
ACUAUAUGGCUAGCUCAACCACCUAAACCACCCCGCCCCACCUCAAAAUAAAACACACUAAAACAUUUACCAUCCAAGUAUCAGGCGAUAGAACGGACACAACAAGCAAUAGACACAGUACCGUAAGGGAACGCUGAAAGAGAAAUUAAAUAAACACUUAAAGUAAAAAACAGCAAGGACUAACCCCUGUACCUUUUGCAUCAUGAUUUAACAAGUCCAACUAGGAUAAAAGACCUUAACCCAGCCCCCAGAAACUAGACGAGCUAUUUUUGAGCAGCCUAUUACAGGGCAAACUCAUCUCUGUAGCAAAAGAGUGAGAAGACUUUAAAAUAGAGGUGACAUGCCUACCGAGCCUAGUGAUAGCUGGUUGCUCAAUAAACGAGUCUAAGCUCCACUUUAAACCUUAUCAACUGUAAACCGCACAUACAUUAAAAUUUAAAAGCCAUUCACAAGAGGUACAGCUCUUAUGAACCAGGAGACAACCUAAAAAAUUGGGUAAUGAUUAAAUUAUAUAAGGAAAAUUGUCCCAGUAGGCCUAAUAGCAGCCACCUGCACUAAUCGCGUCACAGCAUAACCAAGCUAGACCCAAAAAUACCAAUCAACCCUCAAAUCCCAUUCACACAAAUGAGCCAACCUAUACACCCUAUAGAUUCAUCAAUGUUAAAACUAGUAACAAGAAAGCACCCCUCUCUCAACGCAUAAGUGUAAAUUAUAACGGACCCCCCAAUAAUAAUUACCGAUCGACACUACAAAUAAACAAGCUGUCAUACAAACCGUUAACCCAACACAGGAAUGCAAACGAAAGGCCAAAAGACACUGAAGGAAUUAAGCAAAUAAAGCUCCGCCUGUUUACCAAAAACAUCACUUCUAGCAAACCACACAUGUAUUAGAAGCACUGCCUGCCCAGUGACACUGAUUCAACGGCCACGGUAUUUUGACCGUGCAAAGGUAGCGUAAUCACUUGUUUUUUAAAUAAAGACCUGUAUGAAUGGCAAAACGAGAGCUUAACUGUCUCCACUGUCUAGCCAGUGAAACUGAUCUCCCUGUCCAAAAGCAGGGAUAAAAAUGUAAGACGAGAAGACCCUAUGGAACUUCAGACAUAAGCCACCCUGCCCACACCCAGCAUGAACCUUGGCCACCGUCUUCAGUUGGGGCGACUACGGAGAAUAAAAAUCCUCCGCGAUAUUCACCAAACCACACAAAGCUAAGUAUCAAGACACUUGAAACAACUGAUCCAAUAAAAUUGAUCAACGAACCAAGCUACCCUAGGGAUAACAGCGCAAUCUUCUUAUAGAGACCUUAUCGACAAGAAGGUUUACGACCUCGAUGUUGGAUCAGGAUAUCCAGACAGUGCAGCCGCUGUCACAGGUUUGUUUGUUCAACAAUUAAAAUCCUACGUGAUCUGAGUUCAGACCGGAGUAAUCCAGGUCAGUUUCUACCUACAAAUAAAUUUCUGCCAGUACGAAAGGACCGAAGAAAUAAGGCCAAUAGACAAUACAAGCCUUAACUAUAAAUCAUGCUAACAACUAAAUCCCAGUACCUCACAGACCCCAAGACAAGGG